GCGGACGGGUUAGUAACGCGUGGGAACGUGCCCUUCACUACGGAAUAGUCCCGGGAAACUGGGUUUAAUACCGUAUACGCCCUUCGGGGGAAAGAUUUAUCGGUGAAGGAUCGGCCCGCGUCUGAUUAGAUAGUUGGUGGGGUAACGGCCUACCAAGUCUACGAUCAGUAGCUGGUUUGAGAGGAUGAUCAGCAACACUGGGACUGAGACACGGCCCAGACUCCUACGGGAGGCAGCAGUGGGGAAUCUUAGACAAUGGGCGCAAGCCUGAUCUAGCCAUGCCGCGUGAGUGAUGAAGGCCUUAGGGUCGUAAAGCUCUUUCGCCAGGGAUGAUAAUGACAGUACCUGGUAAAGAAACCCCGGCUAACUCCGUGCCAGCAGCCGCGGUAAUACGGAGGGGGUUAGCGUUGUUCGGAAUUACUGGGCGUAAAGCGCGCGUAGGCGGAUUAGUCAGUCAGAGGUGAAAUCCCAGGGCUCAACCCUGGAACUGCCUUUGAUACUGCUAGUCUUGAGUUCGAGAGAGGUGAGUGGAAUUCCGAGUGUAGAGGUGAAAUUCGUAGAUAUUCGGAGGAACACCAGUGGCGAAGGCGGCUCACUGGCUCGAUACUGACGCUGAGGUGCGAAAGUGUGGGGAGCAAACAGGAUUAGAUACCCUGGUAGUCCACACCG
rnacentral:rRNA from 1 species